GGCCUAGGGAAAAGGAAAAAAACUAUCUAAGAGCACUAGGGAUAGGAACAUGAAGGAAAGCAUAACCUCUAUUCCAUCUCUGGCAUUGGGGAUGGAGAUUUGGUUUAAUGUUUUCCUGAUGCCUCCUAUUCCUAAGGCCCUUAGGUUCUCCUUCCCUUUCCUUAUGGCU
rnacentral:pre_miRNA from 1 species